CAGCAGCCACGGUAAUACGAAGGGGGCUAGCGUUGUUCGGAUUUACUGGGCGUAAAGCGCACGUAGGCGGAUUCUUAAGUCAGAGGUGAAAUCCCAAGGCUCAACCUUGGAACUGCCUUUGAUACUGGGGAUCUCGAGUCCGGGAGAGGUGAGUGGAACUGCGAGUGUAGAGGUGAAAUUCGUAGAUAUUCGCAAGAACACCAGUGGCGAAGGCGGCUCACUGGCCCGGUACUGACGCUGAGGUGCGAAAGCGUGGGGAGCAAACAGGAUUAGAUACCCCCGUAGUCCCUGUCUCUUAUAC
rnacentral:rRNA from 1 species